rnacentral:lncRNA from 7 species
GCAGGCUCCUAGCAUUUUCUUGAAGAAGGAACACAUACAUGGGAGGAGGAACAAUGAACUGAAGAGCUUUGAGCUACUUAAAAAUAAGGUUCACUGCUGCCUCCCCCACCAUUCAUUGCUAAAGGAAGCUUUCAAGCCUUGGACCUUAGAAGACAGGAAACAUGAUCUGGUGUUACAUGCCUUAAGGGUUUUAACCCAGCCUGGACUGCAGGUCUCUGUGGAUGAAGGACUAUCCUUCGUGAAUGGGCCACGUCUGGCAAUGGAGUCCAGUGACACUGCUGAACAAGAGAGUCAUAGCAGUCUUUUGCUCCUGUUAGAUUUCAAAACACCGAACUGAGCUCAAGUUGAAGAUGAUUUUUAUAACUUAACAUUUUGCUCUCUGUGAUUGCUAGUCCUCCUUAUUACUUUCUUUAGCUUAUUUUCCCUUUGCUGUCUGAAUUGCUUCCUCAAAUUCCACCCACCUUUGGCUUUUCCACUCAGCUGGAAGUAUGCAUCUAAAUGUCGAUAGAAAAGAAAAAGCGAAUUCAAAAAGGCUUUUAUAAGAUGCUGUUGCUGCUAAGGUGAAUCAUCUAUAAUAUACCAAAACCACAGAGAUGCCCCAUCUAAACUAAAGCCAGUUUAACUAAUGUGCUGAUGGGAACGUUCUGUGCUUGUAAGCAAGUUCACAGACUUCCUGCCAGAAGGGGGUAAUUACACAAAGGCCUCUAAUAAGCUCUAGAGUUUGUUUCAUGGAGUAGAGGUUUGAAAGCUGAGACAAACGAUAGACUUUCUUCCAGAAAUAUAGUUUUGUGACAUUCAAAGCUGGAAAACAUUAACCCUAGUUUAUAAAUGGGGAACCAAAGUGUGGAGAUGAUUACCUGAUUUGCUAAAUAUUUCGGAGACAGUAUGGGAGACAACUUAUGUGUGACAACCCUUCCAAGGACAAAUGAUACCUCUAAUGUGUGUAGAGUUGCUUAGCUCCUUGUUGCCUAGCAGUGUCUUACACUUCUGUACUUACUGGCUUUAAAGAAGCACCAAAUCAAAAUGGUAGCCUUUUUUUAUGUAAAUACAAACACCAAAUGGAAGGAAAAGUUUAGCUGACCCUGGCAGUUUUAAUAGCUAUAUCAAUGUCAAGCAUUAUUUUUCUUUAUUCCACUUGUAUUCAAGAAAAGCAUAGAUUUACUACUUCUUUCCUUAAUGGAACAAGUCACUGAAACAUUUCAAGUGAUGGUGCUUUUCUAAGCAACCUAGAAUAAUUAACUGCACUAAAAUGCUUCCUGGCUUGUGUUACCACAAAAACUGUAAAAACAGUUUUACAAGCUCUUGUGCUUUACUGCAAAGCAAACACAUUAAAAACAUUUAAUGAGC